AACUUUCGACAACGGAUCUCUUGGCUCUCGCACCGAUGAAGAACGCAGCGAAAUGCGAUACGUAAUGUGAAUUGCAGAAUUCAGUGAAUCAUCGAAUCUUUGAACGCACCUUGCGCCCCUUGGAAUUCCGAGGGGCACACCCGUUUGCGUCUCGUGAACAUCCUUCAACCUUUCUUGGUUUCUUGACCGGGGAAGGCUUGGACUUUGGGGGUCUUUCAGUGCUGGCCUCUUUGAAGCCAGCUCCUCCUAAAUGGAUUAGUGUGGUCUGCUUUGCCGAUCCUUGACGUGAUAAGAUGUUUCUACGUCUUGGGUUUCGCACUGUCGCUUUAGACCCCGCUUCUGACCGUCUUGCAUUCAAGACAGAGUUUUAAACCUUGACCUCAAAUCGGGUGAGACUACCCGCUGAACUUAAGCAUAUCAAUAAGCGGAGGCU
rnacentral:misc_RNA from 1 species